CCACUCGACCACCUCAUCCAGAAAUAAUCACUUUCUCCAUUCGAUUCUUCCUCUUGCUCUUGCACCCAAUCUCCUCGCUACGUAGUUAGCUAAUCUAACCAUCAGUCCACCAAAGCCAAUCCACUGAGUGCGAGAGCUCCAUCUCCAUCUCGAUCUCGACCAAGGAGAGGAAGCUAGCUAGCUAGCAACAGGCAGCAGCAAUGGCGGGCGUGGGUCGUAACAUGGUGGCGCCGCUGCUGGUGCUGAACCUCAUCAUGUACCUCAUUGUCAUCGGCUUCGCAAGCUGGAACCUCAACCACUUCAUCAACGGCCUCACCAACCGCCCCGGCGUCGGCGGCAACGGAGCCACCUUCUACUUCCUCGUCUUUGCCAUCCUCGCGGGCGUCGUCGGCGCCGCAUCCAAGCUCGCCGGCGUGCACCACGUCCGCACAUGGCGCGGUGACAGCCUCGCCACCUCCGCCUCGUCCUCGCUCGUGGCAUGGGCCAUCACCGCCUUGGCGUUCGGGCUGGCGUGCAAGGAGAUCCACAUCGGCGGGUACCGCGGGUGGCGCCUCAGGGUGCUGGAGGCGUUCGUCAUUAUCCUGGCCUUCACGCAGCUGCUUUACGUGCUGGCGCUGCACUCCGGCCUCUUCGGGAACCAGUUGGGGGUGGCAACCAUGCUGGUGGGUACCCGGCGGAGCAUGCGUACGGCGCAGGCGGCGACCCGCACAACAAGGGCAUGGGCACCGGCGGCGUAGCCAGGGUCUGAAUCGGGUAGAGACCUCGCCGUGCUCCAUCGCUUGGCGGUUGACAGUGACGGGCGGAUAAUAAGGUGUGUGUGUGUGUGUGUGUGUGUGUGUUCCGUCCCGUAUGGUGUGAGCGUACGUUGUAUGCAGACAUGGUGUGCACGGUAGGCAUGUAGUGACGGCGUGCGUGCGUACAUGUGUAGUACUGCAGGAUGGGCCCUUCUUCUUAGUGUGUUUUGUGUUUAUUAUGUAGUCCGAGAUCAAGAUGGAGAUCGAUCAGUCCAUGCUAUGCUUCUUCAUUCUCCGACCAGACAAUUGCAAUGCAUGUCUGGGUGUGGAUGAAUGGCUGCACUUGUUUAAUUUAGUACUACUACUCUACAAAUCCGUUUGUGUUGUGUUGUGCCCAA